AGUCAGUGUGGUGCAUACAGUAAUAAAUACGGGGAAUACGUACGAAUUACAGUGCCUUACUUUUUGUAAUUUGUAAAAAACGAGA